AUGGAGGCGCUGAGGAAGCAGGCGAGCAAGUUCAAGGAGCAGGUCGCCAAGCAGCAGCAGGCUGUUAUAAAGCAGUUCAGUACUACUGGUUAUGAGCGCUCAGAUUCUGUUGUAAUUGAUGAGGUUGAACUACAGAGACAUCAACAGCUCGACAAAUUUUAUAGCUCUACUCGUUCUGGAAGGGAUUUCCAGAAGGACAUUGUUAGAGCAGCUGAAGGUUUGGUAUCUAUUGGAAACAAGCAUAUUGAAGUGGGAACAAAAUUUUCAGAGGACUGCUAUAGAUAUGGAGGUGAAAAUAAUGCGAGUGAUGAAGCCCUUGCAAAAGCAGCAUCAUUAUACGGAGGUGCUUUGAGAAAUAUUGAGAAAGAGUAUGAAGAUUUCAACAGAACUUUAUCUUCCCAGAUUAUAGACCCAUUGAGGGCAAUGUCUAUGGGCACACCCCUGGAAGAUGCUCGUGGUCUUGCGCAGCGUUAUAGCCGGAUGAGACAUGAAGCUGAGAUCCUUUCUGCUGAAAUUGCCAGAAGAAAGGCACGGGUCAGAGAAGCUCCAAUUCCGGAGCACACUACAAAGCUUCAACAGUCCGAAGCUAAAAUGAUAGAGCACAAAGCAAGUAUGGCUGUGUUAGGAAAGGAAGCAGCAGCUGCACUUGCGGCUGUUGAAUCUCAGCAGCAACGGGUAACCCUUCAGCGGCUGGUUGGCAUGGUAGAAGCAGAAAAAUUAUUCUAUCUGAGAUUAGCUGCAAUACUUGAUGACGUUGAGGCUGAGAUGUCCUCUGAGAAGCAGAAGAGAGAAUCUGCACCACCUAUUAUAUCUUCUCAUAAGCGUGCUGAGAAAGCCCAAUAUUUCCUUGCUGAGGCAGUGCAUAACUUCAAUGGGACCACAGAGAAGGAACUGAGCUUAAUUGUUGGCGAUUAUGUUGUUGUUCGUCAGAUUGCUCCCAACGGUUGGGCUGAAGGAGAAUGCCGAGGGAAGGCCGGGUGGUUCCCGGCCGCCUAUGUUGAGCGGCGUGAAAAUAUCCCACCCAAUAAAGUUUUCCCACAAGCAUAAGAUCAUAAGCGUGUCAUCUGUUUCCACUGUGCAGUGCUUACUGGUAGCAAAUAACAUUCCAUGACGCCAAUGCACAGUUUGGCAUUAGGGGAGCUGUAAGUUUGUGUGUAACUUGUGAACCGUUUGAUGCUUGUAUCUUGUACAUCUUAUAUUCUUGUGGUGGUCUAGACUUUAGAUAAGACCUGUCCGCACACUGUGCCUGCGAGCACACUGAUGAUUUCGCCUUGCGUAUGUGCUCGCGGUAGCAUGGGUCGAAGACUGAGCUUAUCGCUUCCUCUGCUACUGACGCCUUUCGAAUGGCCGUGAACCUGCAACCUGUUUGCUCAACCUGCAGAAUUUCAGAAUGCUUCUCAUGUAAGCUGUCUUCCACCAGUUCCAGCCAUGCUAAACUAUUUUCGUUUACUCGACUUCAGUAGUUGAGAUCAUUGGAGGGUCAACAGGUAGUUGAGAUCGUUGGAUGGCAAGAAAUGGCGUAUGAGAUUUCUGGCAAUACGGCAGUUAUCACAAGGAAAUUCAAUC